GAACGAGACCUUAACCUGCUAAAUAGCCMGGCAAGCUUUCGCUUGCGGUUGGCUUCUUAGAGGGACUAUCGGCUCAAGCCGAUGGAAGUUUGAGGCAAUAACAGGUCUGUGAUGCCCUUAGAUGUUCUGGGCCGCACGCGCGCUACACUGACGGGGCCAACGAGUAUAAUCCUUGGCCGAAAGGUCUGGGUAAUCUUGUUAAACCCCGUCGUGCUGGGGAUAGGGCAUUGCAAUUAUUGCCCUUCAACGAGGAAUUCCUAGUAAGCGCAAGUCAUCAGCUUGCGUUGAUUACGUCCCUGCCCUUUGUACACACCGCCCGUCGCUACUACCGAUUGAAUGGCUCAGUGAGGCCUUCGGAUUGGCUCAGGGAGGGGGGCAACCCCCACCCAGAGCCGAGAAGUUGGUCAAACUUGGUCAUUUAGAGGAAGUAAAAGUCGUAACAAGGUUUCCUUCCCUGGGGAGUACGCCUCCGGAAGCCUUGGACAGCGUGACCGGCACGCUAGUCGGCRCCAAGUUUUUCUUUUUGCCGGCGACACCGUCGAAUUGCGGGGAUACCCUGACGGCCGCSAGACCUCCCGGCGCCUGAAAAGGCCCGGCACGGUAAAACUUCGCGGCAUAUGGCCUCCGGGCCGCUGGGCAAUCCGCAGCCAAAGCCUAAAGCCCUCCUUUGGGGCAACGGCCGAGGUUCACAGAUUAAGUGGCGGUGGGUUCUUUCCUGAGCCUAAGAUAUAAUCGGGUCCCGGCCGCGAGG
rnacentral:rRNA from 1 species